rnacentral:rRNA from 1 species
UACGUAGGGGGCGAACGUUGUCCGGAUUUAUUGGGCGUAAAGAGCUCGUAGGCGGCUCAGCAAGUCGGCCGUGAAAGCCCGGGGCUCAACCCCGGGACGCCGGUCGAAACUGCUGUGGCUAGGGUCCGGUAGAGGAGAGUGGAAUUCUCGGUGUAGCGGUGAAAUGCGCAGAUAUCGGGAGGAACGCCAGUAGCGAAGGCGGCUCUCUGGGCCGGUACCGACGCUGAGGAGCGAAAGCUAGGGGAGCAAACAGG